UCUUUGGACCUGAGGCCCCUUCUCAUCUUUCAGUCUAUGGUCAAAUAUCACCUUCUCUGAGAAAUCACCUGACUUUAUCUAAAGAGUGCUUAACAUCCGGGGGAUCCAACAAAUACUGACUCUCUUCUGUGAUCAAAUAACUUGCUGUCAACUGUCAUGUCAACAACUCAUCAAAGGAAAUUAAAGAGAGUUCAAUACUUCUGGGUAAUUCUAAAGCUAAGAUGACACGGUAGCACUGGAUUGCAUUCUGAAUGGCUGCUGCAACCUUCAUGUACCGUCC